rnacentral:rRNA from 1 species
UACAGAGGUGGGCAAGCGUUGUUCGGAAUUACGUGGGCGUAAAGCGCUCGCAGGUGGUUCGUUGCGUCGUGACGUGAAAGACCCGGCUCAACUGGGGGUGUCGUGCGAUACGGGCGAACUGGAGGCCAGUAGGGGGAUGCCGGAAUUCCGGGUGUAGUGGUGGAAUGCGUAGAGAGUCCGGAGGAACACCAGCGGCGAAGGCGGCAUCCUGGACUGGUCCUGACACUCAGGAGCGAAAGCGUGGGGAGGCGAGUCGG